GACGAACGCUGGCGGCGUGCUUAACACAUGCAAGUCGAACGGUAAGGCUCCAGCUUGCUGGGGUACACGAGUGGCGAACGGGUGAGUAACACGUGGGUGACCUGCCCUGCACUUCGGGAUAAGCCUGGGAAACUGGGUCUAAUACCGGAUAGGACCGCACCGUGAGGGUGUGGUGGAAAGUUUUUUCGGUGUGGGAUGGGCCCGCGGCCUAUCAGCUUGUUGGUGGGGUAAUGGCCUACCAAGGCGGCGACGGGUAGCCGGCCUGAGAGGGUGGACGGCCACAUUGGGACUGAGACACGGCCCAGACUCCUACGGGAGGCAGCAGAGGGAAUAUUGCACAAUGGGCGGAAGCCUGAUGCAGCGACGCCGCGUGGGGGAUGACGGCCUUCGGGUUGUAAACUCCUUUCACCAUCGACGAAGGGUUUCUGACGGUAGAUGGAGAAGAAGCACCGGCUAACUACGUG
rnacentral:rRNA from 1 species